UACAGAGGUCCCGAGCGUUGUUCGGAUUCACUGGGCGUAAAGGGUGCGUAGGUGGCAUGGUAAGUUUGAUGUGAAAGCUCAGGGCUCAACCCUGAAAUGGCAUCGAAUACUACUGUGCUGGAGGUUUGGAGGGGGGACUGGAAUUCUUGGUGUAGCAGUGAAAUGCGUAGAUAUCAAGAGGAACACCAGUGGCGAAGGCGAGUCCCUGGACAACACCUGACACUGAGGCACGAAAGCUAGGGGAGCAAACAGG
rnacentral:rRNA from 1 species